UACAAUAACCUUUCAGUUUACAUGGUGGCAGAAAUUAUACCUUAUCUUGUUUCAUGUAUUAUCUUUGCCUGAAAGUAUAUAUGCCCAAGCUUCCUUAUCUAUUUCCUUGUCCAAAUUGAUUCAUUAUUUCAAAAUGUUAGUUUUUACUUAAUAUUACUAUGUUAUAUGUUUUUGCCACACCGCAUAUCGUUGCCCUGUUGAGAUGCAAUCAGGUUCCAUUUGAAGAUCUAACUGCAAUCAAGAUUUGAGUAGAACUUACAGUGAGGAACGUCAGUUGAACGCUGUCUACAAGAUUUCCUGUGUCAUUUUGUUUAAUAUCU
rnacentral:lncRNA from 1 species